AAGAUUAAAGGGGGCACUUGUGUUUGGUUGUAAUAUGAACCAGUCGUGAAUAUGCAAAGCUAUGGAAGCUGCUAGAGGUACUACAAGUACCAUCAUUGGCUAAAAUUAUUUAAAAAUUAUUAAGUUCUAUCCCCCCAUAAUCCAAAAAAGAUAAGAAUUAUCUUUCCAAAUAGAUUUGAGUGUCACUAACUUAAAAGAAAUAUGAAUUUCAAUUUUAAAGAUAAAGGAGCAAAAAAAAUA
rnacentral:lncRNA from 1 species